rnacentral:rRNA from 1 species
GGAUUAAGAGCUUGCUCUUAUGAAGUUAGCGGCGGACGGGUGAGUAACACGUGGGUAACCUGCCCAUAAGACUGGGAUAACUCCGGGAAACCGGGGCUAAUACCGGAUAACAUUUUGAACCGCAUGGUUCGAAAUUGAAAGGCGGCUUCGGCUGUCACUUAUGGAUGGACCCGCGUCGCAUUAGCUAGUUGGUGAGGUAACGGCUCACCAAGGCAACGAUGCGUAGCCGACCUGAGAGGGUGAUCGGCCACACUGGGACUGAGACACGGCCCAGACUCCUACGGGAGGCAGCAGUAGGGAAUCUUCCGCAAUGGACGAAAGUCUGACGGAGCAACGCCGCGUGAGUGAUGAAGGCUUUCGGGUCGUAAAACUCUGUUGUUAGGGAAGAACAAGUGCUAGUUGAAUAAGCUGGCACCUUGACGGUACCUAACCAGAAAGCCACGGCUAACUACGUGCCAGCAGCCGCGGUAAUACGUAGGUGGCAAGCGUUAUCCGGAAUUAUUGGGCGUAAAGCGCGCGCAGGUGGUUUCUUAAGUCUGAUGUGAAAGCCCACGGCUCAACCGUGGAGGGUCAUUGGAAACUGGGAGACUUGAGUGCAGAAGAGGAAAGUGGAAUUCCAUGUGUAGCGGUGAAAUGCGUAGAGAUAUGGAGGAACACCAGUGGCGAAGGCGACUUUCUGGUCUGUAACUG